ACGUGCAGGACGUGCCGAUGGAACGCAACACGCUGCAGGUAGUCGCUUCUGCAGUGAACGCGGAGGCACUCUCGCGCGCUGAGGAUCAUGCUUGCCAUGCGUCUCCCAUGCGCCGUGUGUACCGCCUCCGCGACUCGUGUGCGGCGCUGCAGCUUAUUCUCCUGGCCUACAAACACCGUCGCUGCAGUGCGCAUUCGAUGACGGUCGCCAUGUUCGUUGAGGCUUGCGCCUCUGAUCUUGUGCAGGGAGUGCAUGUCCUAGAGAGCGCCCCCUUAUCCUCUUCACCCAGCCACGACUCCUCCGGUGACGCCAUCGCGACGUUGGAGGCACCGUGGUUCGACAUCGGCUCUGAGGCAGGUGACGACGUACGCGUGUGCCUGCUGCUGCCUACCUACGCGGAUUACUUCUUUGACUACACAAUGUACUGGGCACGGGUCGCGUACUCGGAAAUGGCGCGCCAGUGCGCUGGCCACGGCCUCAUCGCGAAGCUGCAGACCGUCGGUGGGGGUUGGGCCUCGCUGCACCGGGCCGACAAGUCCCUCGCGUGCGCGUUGCAGCUGCACGCUGUGGCACAAGCGGUGUUCGAUGAGGAUGUUGUGCGCAAGUGCCGCCUCUUUAUUGGGUGGGCUCAUCUCUGGAACAGCGAUCCGGCCAAGGCUCUGGAGGUGUUUUAUGCGGAACUGGCAGCCGCGCGACGGCAUGGCGACCCAGUCCACGAAAGGCGCUGCCUACACGCCAUUCAGAACGCGGAGCACAACCCUCGCCUCGCCCCCGGGGGGGCACACACGGGCCACUACCAGCUUGUGAACCUUUGGUGGCGUGCGCUUGCCUAGAUGAAGCCCGCGUCCCUUUUGAAUCCUUCCACUCAGGCGUCUUCUCUUGUGUUCGGACGGGCACGGGGAAGCCGAGGUCGUGCGCGGAAGAGAGGCGCAGCAGCGCAUGAAAGGGGUGCUGGUGUGCGCGGGUGUUGGUGUCUCUGAGAGCCUCAAGAUGAACAUCUCACGCUCGAGUGUACCCAGUGAAAGCGGGCAGAGACGGAUUAGCUAGGGAAUGGACGGCGGUAACCGUGCGGCGUUUGGAGAGCGAGACCUAGGCGUCGUACCGCACGGCCCAGCGCGCCCACUCUGUGUGGGAGGGGGGGGCUUGUGAGCUCCGCCAUCUCUUCCAAUGCCGAGUCACCUCUGGUCGUAAGAGGGUCGAUUGCCUACGACGUGGGCGAGUGAGGGCGAUGCAUCGCUGCCGAUGUCGGCGGUUCGGUUCUGGAUGGCGGUGCGUCGGAGAGCGAACCGCGACAGUGAGCACACGCUUGUGCCAUCCACGUGACGGGCAGAGCGUCAGCGUUACUCGAAUAAACCUCACCGCUAGCCCUUUCUGCCUAUCAGUGUGGGGUGCCUGUGUGCUAACGCGAGGGAUAUAUGCACGAAGGGUAGAAAACGGCAUGAUGGAAGGAGUGGCUGCGAGGCGGAGUGCUGGUGGGCGGAGUUUUAGGACAAGGCCGUGCUCAGUUGGCUGAGUCGGCGCAUUGCUGUGACACGCGUCUAUU
rnacentral:misc_RNA from 1 species